GCCGGCGUAGCUCAGCAGGUAGAGCAGCUGAUUUGUAAUCAGCUGGUCGGGGGUUCGAAUCCUCUCGCCGGCUCCA
rnacentral:tRNA from 1 species